rfam:Aspergillus carbonarius ITEM 5010 unplaced genomic scaffold ASPCAscaffold_6, whole genome shotgun sequence.
GGCCUUGUAUAUCAAUGGUAGAUUGUCAGACUCCUAAUCUGGAGGUUGUGGGUUCGAGUCCCACCAAGGUCG